rnacentral:lncRNA from 1 species
GAACAGGGGUGACACCACCAGGUUUAUUGGGAUGGAGCUGGGGGACCCCAAAACCGCAGGGACAGUCGGACGGAGCGUCAGUCGGACAGAGGGACAGACAGGACAGUGUCACUGCACUGUGGCCAUGGGCUCAUGAUGGUCACUGCGGUCAGGAACUGUCCCCAGGGUGGUCACUGUGGUCACUGUGGUGGUCACUGCGGUCAGGAGCUGUCCCCAGGGUGGUCACUGUGAUGGUCACUGUGGUCAGGAGCUGUCCCCAUGGUGGUCAUGAUGGUCACUGUGGUGGUCAUUGCUCCAUGGUGGUGUCCUCAUGAUGGUCACUGUGGUCAGGAGCUGUCCCCAUGGUGGUCACUGUGGUGGUCACUGUGGUGGUCACUGCUCCAUGGUGGUGUCCUCAUGGUGGUCACUGUGGUGGUCACUGUGGUCAGGAGCUGUCCCCAUGGUGGUCACUGUGGUCACUGUGGUGGUCACUGUGGUGGUCACUGUGGUCACAGUGAUGGUCACCACAGUGCUGGUCACUGCUCCAUGGUGGUGUCCCAGAGUGGUCACUGUGGUCACUCAGUGCUCCAUGGUGGUGUCCCAGGGUGGUCACUGCUCCAUGGCGGUGUCCCCAUGACGGUCACAGUGAUGGUCACCACAGU